GUUCCUUAGGUAAAGCCAAUUGCGUGAAAUCAUAAAUUUAGUAGCUAAUGUAGAUGUGUGUAGUUUAGAAGUAAAGGUUAUUGAGAGCACCUAGAGGGGGGGGUGAAUAGGUGAUCCUGUAAAACUUCAAAACUUAAGCCACAAAAACUUGUUAAGUGUUAGCACAAUUAUGGCCAAGUGGCUAGAGAGGAGUCAAAACACAAUAACCACAAGAAUUCAAUCACAGAGAUGACACGGUGGUUAUCCCGUGGUUCGGCCAAGUACAAAACUUGCCUACUCCACGUUGUGGCGUCCCAACGGACGAGAGUUGCACUCAACUCCUCUCAAGUGAUCCAAUGAUCAACUUGAAUACCACGGUGUUCUUGCUUUUCUUUUCUCAAUCCCGUUUGCGAGGAAUCUCCACAACUUGGAGCCUCUCGCCCUUACAAAAGAUGUUCACAGAGAAUCACGGAUCAAGGCAGGGAUUAGCAACUCACACAACACAAAGAUCACAGCGAAUACGCACACACAAGACCCAGACUUGAGCUCAAGAGACUAGCACACUAGAACGGAGCUCAAAUCACUAGAAUUUAGAACAAGUGCGCAAGAUUGAUGUGUGAGUGAUCAAGAGUGCUCAAGGAAUGCUUGGUUGUCCUCCUCCAUGCGCCUAGGGGUCCCUUUUAUAGCCCCAAGGCAGCUAGGAGCCGUUGAGAACAAAUCCAGAAGGCUAUCCUUGCCUUCUGUCGUCGGGCGCACCGGACAGUCCGGUGCACACCGGACACUGUCCGGUGCCCGAUUUCUUUCCUUAACAGGCGCAGCCGACCGUUGGCGACCGUUGCAGAUCUGGCGCACCGGACAGUCCGGUGCACACCGGACAGUCCGGUGCUUCCUUCCGACCGUUGGCUCGGCCACGUGUCGCGCGCCGAUCGCGCGGCCGACCGUUGGCCCGGCCGACCGUUGGCUCACCGGACAGUCCGGUGCACACCGGACAGUCCGGUGAAUUUUAGCCGAAGUCGCUAGAGAAAAACCCGAGAGCAGCCUCUUCGGCCGAGGCAGCCUGGCGCACCGGACACUGUCCGGUGCACCACCGGACAGUCCGGUGCCCCAGACCGAAACAGCCCCUUGGCUGUACACAGCCAAGUCUUCUCUUCUCUUCUUCUUUCUGUUUCUAACACUUAGACAAGAUAUUAGUACACAAAAACAAUGUACUAAGGCUUAGAAACAUACCUUAACUUGUGAUUUGCACUUUGUUCAUCUAUGGGCAUAUUUUCACAUUUAAGCACUUGUGUUUGCACUCAAUCACCAAAAUACUUAGAAAUGGCCCAAAGGCACAUUUCCCUUUCAAUCUCCCCCUUUUUGGUGAUUUAUGCCAACAGAACAUAAAGCAAGUGGAACAAGUGCAAAACUACUUCAAAUAAAAACUAACUUUGAGUUUUAUUCAAUUUUGGCAUAUAUGGAUCAUCCUUUGCCACCACUUGGUUUGUUUUUGCAACUCAAACUCAAAUCUCUAUUUCUAUGUCAACCACACAUGUUGAGGCACAAAGAGAGUCAUUCCAAAAGAGGUUGAUCAAAGAUUUCAAAAACUCCCCCUAAAUCCCAUAAUCAAUACUUCUCCCCACAAGAAGCCAACUUUUCACAAAAGAGACAAUAAGAGAGUUUUGACAAAACAAAAGCUCUACUCUACUAUUUUCAAAUCUCUCAAGUGGUAGCUGAUCCAUUUAUCGCUUUGGCCUGUAUUUUCUCCCCCUUUGGCAUCAAGCACCAAAACGGGAUCAAUCUUGGCCUUAUAACCCCAUUGCCUCACCAAAAUCUUCAAUUAAGAGCAAAAUGCAAUAAGAGUUCAUGAGAUGAACUUGGAAUUAGUUACCCUCUCAUUGGAGUGCAGUGGAAGUCUUUCAUGGUCCAAGUCCACCUUUCCCUUUCAAUCCUCCUUCGAGACUAAAUCAUCAAACUCAAGUACAUGGUUAGUCUCAAAGGGUCAAGUUGUAACACAUCUCCCCCUAAACAUGUGCAUCACUUUGCAACGGACUUGUGAGGUCCAGGGAGUGUUUGUACAACUUGAGCACCACAAUAAGCAACAAAAUGCAGAAUGAACAUGAUCAAAGGCAUAAACACAUGUAUGCUACAAUUCAAUCCAAGUUCCGCGAAUCUAAGACAUUUAGCUCACUACGCAGCCUGCAAAAGGUCUUCUCAUCUAGAGGCUUGGUGAAGAUAUCGGCUAGCUGGUUCUCGGUGCUAACAUGAAACACUUCGAUAUCCCCCUUUUGCUGGUGGUCUCUCAAAAAGUGAUGCCGGAUGUCUAUGUGCUUUGUGCGGCUGUGCUCAACAGGAUUUUCCGCCAUGCGGAUAGCACUCUCAUUAUCACAUAGGAGUGGGACUUUGCUCAGAUUGUAGCCAAAGUCCCGGAGGGUUUGCCUCAUCCAAAGUAGUUGCGCGCAACACUGUCCUGCGGCAACAUACUCGGCCUCAGCGGUGGAUAGGGCAACGGAAGUUUGUUUCUUAGAAUUCCAUGACACCAGGGACCUUCCUAAGAAUUGGCACGUCCCCGAUGUACUCUUCCUAUCGACCUUACAUCCAGCAUAGUCGGAAUCUGAGUAUCCAACCAAGUCAAAGGUAGACCCCUUUGGAUACCAGAGCCCGAAGCAAGGCGUAGCAACUAAAUAUCUAAGGAUUCGCUUCACCGCCACUAAGUGACACUCCUUAGGAUCAGAUUGAAAUCUAGCACACAUGCAUACGCUAAGCAUAAUAUCCGGUCUACUAGCACAUAAAUAAAGUAAAGACCCUAUCAUUGACCGGUAUGCUUUUUGAUCAACGGACUUACCUCCUUUGUUGAGAUCGGUGUGUCCGUCGGUUCCCAUCGGCGUCUUUGCGGGCUUGGCGUCCUUCAUCCCAAACCGCUUUAGCAGAUCUUGCGUGUACUUCGUUUGGGAGAUGAAGGUUCCGUCCUUGAGUUGCUUCACUUGGAACCCAAGGAAGUAGUUCAACUCGCCCAUCAUCGACAUCUCGAAUUUUUGCGUCAUCACCCUGCUAAACUCUUCACAAGACUUUUGGUUAGUAGAACCAAAUAUUAUGUCAUCGACAUAAAUUUGACACACAAACAAAUCACCAUCACAUGUCUUAGUGAAAAGAGUUGGAUCGGCUUUCCCAACCUUGAAAGCAUUAGCAAUUAAGAAAUCUCUAAGGCAUUCAUACCAUGCUCUUGGGGCUUGCUUAAGUCCAUAGAGCGCCUUAGAGAGCUUACACACGUGGUCGGGGUACCGUUCAUCCUCGAAGCCAGGGGGUUGCUCCACGUACACCUCCUCCUUGAUUGGCCCGUUGAGGAAAGCGCUCUUCACAUCCAUUUGGAACAACCUGAAAGAAUGGUGAGCGGCAUAUGCUAGCAAGAUUCGAAUUGACUCUAGCCUAGCCACAGGAGCAAAAGUCUCCUCAAAAUCCAAACCUGCGACUUGGGCAUAACCUUUUGCCACAAGUCGAGCCUUGUUUCUCGUCACCACCCCGUGCUCGUCCUGUUUGUUGCGGAACACCCACUUGGUUCCCACAACAUUUUGCUUUGGACGAGGCACCAGCGUCCAAACUUCAUUUCUCUUGAAGUUGUUGAGCUCCUCCUGCAUGGCCAACACCCAGUCUGGAUCUAGCAAGGCCUCCUCUACCCUGAAAGGCUCAAUAGAAGAGACAAAAGAGUAAUGCUCACAAAAAUUAACUAAUCGAGAACGAGUAGUUACUCCCUUGCUGAUGUCACCCAGAAUUUGGUCGACGGGAUGAUCCCUUUGGAUCGUCGCUCGAACUUGGGUUGGAGGUGCCGGUUGCGCUUCUUCCUCCAUCACAUGAUCAUCUUGUGCUCCCCCUUGAUCACACGCCUCCUUUUGAUGAACCUGUUCAUCGUCUUGAGUAGGGGGAUGCACCAUAAUUGAGGAAGAGGGUUGAUCUUGCUCAUCUUGUUCCUGUGGCCGCACUUCUCCAAUUGCCAUGGUGCGUAUGGCGGCUGUUGGAACGUCUUCUUCAUCUGCAUCAUCACAAUCAACAACUUGCUCUCUUGGAGAGCCAUUAGUCUCAUCAAAUACAACGUCGCUAGAGACUUCAACCAAACCCGAUGAUUUGUUGAAGACUCUAUACGCCUUUGUAUUUGAGUCAUAACCUAAUAAAAACCCUUCUACAGCUUUGGGAGCAAACUUAGAAUUUCUACCCUUCUUCACUAGAAUGUAGCAUUUACUCCCAAAUACACGAAAGUACGAUACAUUGGGUUUGUUACCGGUUAGUAGCUCAUAUGACGUCUUCUUGAGGAGGCGAUGAAGGUAGACCCUGUUGAUGGCGUGGCAAGCAGUGUUAACGGCUUCCGUCCAAAAACACUCGGGGGUCUUGAAUUCUCCUAGCAUCGUCCUCGCCAUAUCGAUGAGCGUCCUGUUCUUCCUCUCUACCACACCAUUUUGCUGUGGUGUGUAGGGAGCGGAGAACUCGUGCUUGAUCCCUUCCUCUUCAAGGAACUCCUCCACUUGAAGGUUCUUGAACUCGGAUCCGUUGUCGCUCCUUAUCUUCUUCACUUUGAGCUCAAACUCAUUUUGAGCUCUCCUGAGGAAGCGCUUGAGGGUCCCUUGGGUUUCAGACUUAUCCUGCAAAAAGAACACCCAAGUGAAGCGGGAAAAAUCAUCAACAAUAACUAAACCAUACUUACUCCCUCCUAUGCUCAGAUAGGCGACAGGUCCGAAGAGGUCCAUAUGCAGCAGCUCCAGGGGUCUUGAAGUGGUCAUCACGUUCUUGCUGUGAUGCGCUCCUCCCACUUGUUUACCUGCUUGACAAGCUGCACAAGGUCUAUCUUUUUCGAAAUGCACGUUAGUCAAACCUAUCACGUGUUCUCCCUUUAGAAGCUUGUGAAGGUUCUUCAUCCCCACAUGUGCUAAGCGGCGAUGCCACAGCCAGCCCAUGCUAGUCUUAGCUAUUAAGCAUGCAUCUAGACCGGCCUCUUCUUUUGCAAAAUCAACUAAAUAAAGUUUGCCGUCUAAUACACCCUUAAAAGCUAGUGAACCAUCACUUCUUCUAAAGACAGACACAUCUACAUUUGUAAAUAGACAGUUAUACCCCAUAUUGCAUAAUUGACUAACAGAUAGCAGAUUAUAUCCAAGAGACUCUACUAAAAACACAUUAGAUAUAGAGUGCUCAUUAGAAAUUGCAAUUUUACCUAACCCUUUUACCUUGCCUUGAUUCCCAUCACCGAAUAUAAUUGAAUCUUGGGAAUCCUUAUUCUUGACGUAGGAGGUGAACAUCUUCUUCUCCCCCGUCAUAUGGUUUGUGCAUCCGCUGUCUAUAAUCCAGCUUGAACCCCCGGAUGCAUAAACCUGCAAGGCAAAUUUAGGCUUGGGUUUUAGGUACCCAACUCAUGUUGGGUCCUGCAAGGUUAGCACAAAUAUUCUUAGGGACCCAAAUGCAAGUUUUAUCUCCCUUGCAUCUUGCCCCUAACUUCCUAGCAAUUACCUUUUUACCCUUUCUACAAAUAGCAAAGGGAGCAUUGCAAGCAUAAUAAAUGGUAGAAGGUUCAUUUGCUACUUUCCUAGGAGCAUGAAUAACAUUCUUUUUAGGAACAACAUUUUUCCUAGUAACAUUUCUAUCAUACACAUAUGAAGAACUAGGAGCAAACAUGGCAUGAGAAUCAUAAACAUAUGAAUCAUUACAAGCAUUUCUAGCAUGUCUCCUAUCAUGGUACAUAAAGGCAUGGUUCCUUUUUGCACUACUAGCCAUAGGAGCCUUCCCUUUCUCCUUGGCGGAGAUGGGAGUCUUAUGGCUUGUUAAGUUCUUGGCUUCCCUCUUGAAGCCAAGCCCAUCCUUAAUUGAGGGGUGUCUAUGUCACACCCGGAUUUUAGGGGUCCAAAACCCGGGCGCGAACAUAAACACCAGGUGUGCUGGGACCAAGUCUCACACAUAUGAUGCAUAGUGGCACAGGAUCGAAUGUCACAUCUUUACUAUAUAACAGGAGUUCUGUACAAAAAUAAUUAAAUAAUUACAUCAUAUGAGGAAACGAUCCAGCAACCCAAAGUUGACUGGGAGACGACGGCCUAGACCUCUCACGAACUCAUCACAGCAUCCUCCAUGCGCCUCAUCCUGUGGUACCUGUUCUUGACCUGUGGGGGGGUGUGAGACAGCAAGAGUGAGCUCACAUACGUUCAUCGCUCAACAAGUUGUGGGGAAUAAUGUGCAUGAACCCGCCAAAGGUGGGAGCUCAUGAAGUGUAAGGCUUACCAAAGAGGAUGGUUGAAGCUGAGCAUUGCUUUUAAAGUUGGUCAAAAUUUUAUUAGCAAUUACUAAGUAUAAGUAAAUACCAACCCAAUUAAAUAGUAGAACAGAAGUAACAACAUCACCUGCGAUGCAAUGCAUAUGACAAAUUGAAUUUAGUUCCAUAAAUUAAUCAUGUGAGGGUCCGAGCUGCUCAUGACCGUGAGCACGGCUAGUAUACCAGUUUUACACUCUGCAGAGGUGGCGCAUCUUUACCCACAAGUCAUGUUACCCAUCUGCCAAGGGAUCGCGACUUCCCAUACACCUCUACCGAGGAGGCGAGGCAGGGUAACACUACGAGGCCUUUACAAAGUUCCACUAGCUUCAGAAAACCCGCUACAGUUUAUAGGAAGCUCCAAUGCAGGAAUUCCCUUGCAGGACCGCCAUCGCAGCAAAAUCCUCCCGAGGGUCUCCCUACACUGACCACUCCCCUACUGCCCUUGCCCCUUUCGGGUAAGGUAGUCCUCCACUAGCUUUCCUAAUUAAUCAGCCAAGGGCGUCCCAUUAUACCCUUGUGGUAGCACUGUUUUCCCGGGUGGUCGCUCCAUGUUCCAAUUAACAUAAUGAUCUUAUCAUGAACGAUAAAUAACAACGGAUAACAAAAGUAUAAUCAUGAGUAAUGUAUCUUCAUACCCAAAACCACAUAAAGCACUAGCAUGUACUACCCAAAAAGUUUUAGUGGUAAACAAGGUAUAAAGAUAAUCAAACUAGGGUAACCUAUUGGGUCCCAUCAAAAUUAACCUAUGCAGAUCAUUAUGAUUAAUCAGAACAUGGCUGGGUAAAAAGAAGUGAUCAAGGGCACAACUUGCCUGAGACUUGAGAUUCCAGGUACCAGGAUGAUCUUCAGGUGACACGUGUCCUCACGCUAGUCGUAGCAUUACAAACAAACAGUGUAUAGGCAAAAUUAACAUUACACCAAACAUAAGAAUACACUGCAUAAAAAUAAUCUACGCGAAGCUACGAGACUAACGCAACUUGAACGGAUCAAAUCGGAGUUAAAACGGAGGAGUUAUGAUUUUCUGAAGAUUCUAUGUGUUUUGUACAAAAUUAAAUAGGAUAUAAAUUUUAAUGUGACUUUCAUGUCAAGACAGCGGUACUAAAUGCUAGACAAUAAUAUUACACAAUUAUAGGAAUUGGAACGGAUUAAUUUGGGCUUAAUAUGAAUUUUCUAUGAAUUAUACAAGUUUUACAAUUAUUUCUAUACUCAAAAUUAAUUUCUAAAUCUCUUUUUCCUAUUUUCUUUAAUUACUGGACUGGGCGCACUAUUAUCAGAAACUGCAUGGGCUAACACGCAAAAUUGCCCAAGACUCAGGAUUCCCACAGACAGGACUGCGGGUUGAAUAGUUUGAAGUGGAGGGUCUCUUUAAGAAAAUACCCGGCCGAAGGGGUACGGGUGAACGCGGACCGCCCAGAUUAGAUCCGAUGGUGUAGAUUAGAUCUGGGCGCUUUAUAAACCGGUAUGCAACGUCAACCGUACGAUCAAAGAUCCACGGCCCACGAAUGCCCACGAUCCAAUCUACCGCGAGCCACACGAUUAAAAUCUAAUGGCUCGGACAUAAAUGGCGAAGGGGUGCCCUGCUUCUAUUUUCAGCCGUCCAUAUAGGAUCUAACGUCCCAGGCGCUUUCUUCCUCAUGCCGUAGCCAGGCGGCGGCGCGUUUCCAGCCCAGACGGCGGAGAGAUGGCCGGCGUUCGGUGAUUUGCCCCAAACUCCAAUCCGAUCAGUGCUAUUCGAGGAGUGCAAUAUGGUGGAUCGUAGUGAGGCUUCUUACCGGAGUGCGAGGUGGUGACGAGGCCCGCCCAUGGCAGGUGACGCUUUGGCGGCGGAGAGCUCACAUCGGUGAGAAAUUCCAGCCGCGCCGAGAACGAAUCCACCCAGGCGAAGCUGCGACGAACAUCCGUGUGCGCUGCGCAUCCUUGCGGCGAAGCUCCAGUGCCCAACACCAGCGCCAACACCCGCCCAGACCAAGGAUGGUGGAGCAGCGCCCGAACCCAUGGCGGCACCCCUUUUUCUCUCUCAACUUCUCUGCUUGUCGCCAUGGCUGCGGAAGAGACGCAGGGUCGGUGGGAAGAAGGGGGCCGCAUGCGCGCUACUUAUCCCCAGGAGCUCAGGAGAUCCGGAGUCCGCGGCGAGGGAGAUAGGUGAGCUGAUUACGCGAGAACGGCGGAGUUCGUUGGGAUUAGCAUGGCGCAAGGAAGGGUGAUGACCAGGUGGCCCCACCGGUAAGCCACACACAUGAGUGGCAGCGAAACCGGGCGUUUGAGAAACGGUCAAGCGGGGCCCGCCUGUCGGCACUUCCCCCACGUUCCGCGCGCGGUCGAACCCGACCAGUGGGUCCCACACGAUAGGGUGCCGGGUGGAUGCGCGCACACAGGAAGUUUGGGCCGCGCUGUAGAUAGGCUUAGGUGGGCUGGCAGGUGGUUUGGGCCCAAUCCGCAGUUUAUUCUUUCCCUUUUUUUUCUUUUAUUCUUUUAUGGUUUCUUUUCCCUUUUGUUUUUAGAAUUCAAAUUUAAAUUAGAAUUCGGUCUUGUGAUCCAUCAAUGUUAAAAGUGUACCCAGUUCAAUCUUUUGGAGUAUAGAAGUACUUUCUUAUUUAUAUAUUUUGUUCUACCUUAUUUGCUUAAUGGUGUUUUCUCUUUUCUCAAUUUUCUAGAAUUCCCUUUUGAAUUUCUAAAUUUCCACUUUGGAUUUUAAUAUAUUUCUUGUCACAUUUAUUAUUUUAUUUUGUCACAAUACGCACACAAAAGAAAAUCCCAGCAUGAUGUAUAAUUUAGUUGAGUGUCUUUUGUUGAUUAUUUAUCUGUGGAAGUGAGGUGUCCACAUGAAAUGAUCAAUAUAGGUCACACAUAUAUGUAUACAGGAACAUAAUUUCUCUUUUUAGACACUUCUUACAAAGUGGGUAUUACAAAUCCUACCCCCUUAAAAAUAAUCUCGUCCUCGAGAUUAGUAAGCAGAAGGGUUAUACCGAGGUUGGUUUAUAAUUGAGAUUGUAGUUUCUAAUGGAUUCAAAAAUUAAGAGUCUCUCUCUUUCUCUUUUUAAAAUACUAUUUAGCAAGUACUUAGAAAUGCAUGGGUAUCUUCUAUGUUUAGACACACAGGUAAGAAGAGAGAUGGUCAGAGUGAGGUUAGCUGAUGGUAAGAAGAACUUGGUAAGGGAAGACUCCUGUCCAAGGUGGUAAAUUUGAAUCAUCUCGAGAUCUGAUUUGACUCCUAUUCUUCCAUGUCGAGGUUGAUCUCCUCCUCCUUGCUCUUUGGUGUCUCCAUCCGGGUUUGGGACAGGAGGUUAAGAUAGAUCUAUUAUGUAGGUCAAGUUGUUGGGUAUGGCCGAGUUGAUCUAGGAUCUCAAACUUGUUUAUAGGAGCAGGGUCUAAUGUAUUUCACCAGGAUUAACUAACUUCUUAGGUCACUCUCUUUAAAUUGGAUCAUAGUAGAUUAGAUGGGAUCUAGAUUAGAUUGGUACAACUAGGUUAGACUAGAUAAUGUCUAAUUACUUUGGAUUAGAUCAUGGUGGUUACUCCAGGAUGAGAUAAGCAAAGUGGUUAGGAUAAGAUAAGAUAAAAUCUUUUAAGAUGAGAUGAAUCUAUUAAGGUAAGACAAUAUCUUUUAAGAUAAGAUGGAUCUUAUGAAGCUAGAUAUAUUUUAAUGGGGGGUAUUCUUAGUUGAUCUAGUUAUAUUAUGAUUUCUUUAUGCUUUUAUGCAUAUGUAGAUGCAAUUGUGGACAUUACUCCACAACUCAUCACACUCAAUCAAAGAUCCAAAUCAAACAAGUAUCAUAAGAACAAGCAUUCAAGUUCAUAGAUAUCUAUAAAAAUAGUUUUGUUUUUUUUGUUCCUAUGAUUAGGUCUCCUAUUCCUAAAGGUCACUUUAGGCACAGGAUUUCAAAGUGUGAAAUCCACAUUUGUCUUUAGAAUGAAAAAAAGAUAAGAAUAAUCAGAGUAAAGCGGAAAUAGAUGAGAAAGAUUAAGAAAAGUAUAGAAAAGAAUCAGAGUAGCAAAGGUAAGUAGACAAUGGUUGUCCAGUUCUACCUAGGUUUCGUCCUACAGUCAACAUUCCUCUGAUACCACUUCUGUCACACCCGGAUUUUAGGGGUCCAAAACCCGGGCGCGAACAUAAACACCAGGUGUGCUGGGACCAAGUCUCACACAUAUGAUGCAUAGUGGCACAGGAUCGAAUGUCACAUCUUUACUAUAUAACAGGAGUUCUGUACAAAAAUAAUUAAAUAAUUACAUCAUAUGAGGAAACGAUCCAGCAACCCAAAGUUGACUGGGAGACGACGGCCUAGACCUCUCACGAACUCAUCACAGCAUCCUCCAUGCGCCUCAUCCUGUGGUACCUGUUCUUGACCUGUGGGGGGGUGUGAGACAGCAAGAGUGAGCUCACAUACGUUCAUCGCUCAACAAGUUGUGGGGAAUAAUGUGCAUGAACCCGCCAAAGGUGGGAGCUCAUGAAGUGUAAGGCUUACCAAAGAGGAUGGUUGAAGCUGAGCAUUGCUUUUAAAGUUGGUCAAAAUUUUAUUAGCAAUUACUAAGUAUAAGUAAAUACCAAUCCAAUUAAAUAGUAGAACAGAAGUAACAACAUCACCUGCGAUGCAAUGCAUAUGACAAAUUGAAUUUAGUUCCAUAAAUUAAUCAUGUGAGGGUCCGAGCUGCUCAUGACCGUGAGCACGGCUAGUAUACCAGUUUUACACUCUGCAGAGGUGGCGCAUCUUUACCCACAAGUCAUGUUACCCAUCUGCCAAGGGAUCGCGACUUCCCAUACACCUCUACCGAGGAGGCGAGGCAGGGUAACACUACGAGGCCUUUACAAAGUUCCACUAGCUUCAGAAAACCCGCUACAGUUUAUAGGAAGCUCCAAUGCAGGAAUUCCCUUGCAGGACCGCCAUCGCAGCAAAAUCCUCCCGAGGGUCUCCCUACACUGACCACUCCCCUACUGCCCUUGCCCCUUUCGGGUAAGGUAGUCCUCCACUAGCUUUCCUAAUUAAUCAGCCAAGGGCGUCCCAUUAUACCCUUGUGGUAGCACUGUUUUCCCGGGUGGUCGCUCCAUGUUCCAAUUAACAUAAUGAUCUUAUCAUGAACGAUAAAUAACAACGGAUAACAAAAGUAUAAUCAUGAGUAAUGUAUCUUCAUACCCAAAACCACAUAAAGCACUAGCAUGUACUACCCAAAAAGUUUUAGUGGUAAACAAGGUAUAAAGAUAAUCAAACUAGGGUAACCUAUUGGGUCCCAUCAAAAUUAACCUAUGCAGAUCAUUAUGAUUAAUCAGAACAUGGCUGGGUAAAAAGAAGUGAUCAAGGGCACAACUUGCCUGAGACUUGAGAUUCCAGGUACCAGGAUGAUCUUCAGGUGACACGUGUCCUCACGCUAGUCGUAGCAUUACAAACAAACAGUGUAUAGGCAAAAUUAACAUUACACCAAACAUAAGAAUACACUGCAUAAAAAUAAUCUACGCGAAGCUACGAGACUAACGCAACUUGAACGGAUCAAAUCGGAGUUAAAACGGAGGAGUUAUGAUUUUCUGAAGAUUCUAUGUGUUUUGUACAAAAUUAAAUAGGAUAUAAAUUUUAAUGUGACUUUCAUGUCAAGACAGCGGUACUAGAUGCUAGACAAUAAUAUUACACAAUUAUAGGAAUUGGAACGGAUUAAUUUGGGCUUAAUAUGAAUUUUCUAUGAAUUAUACAAGUUUUACAAUUAUUUCUAUACUCAAAAUUAAUUUCUAAAUCUCUUUUUCCUAUUUUCUUUAAUUACUGGACUGGGCGCACUAUUAUCAGAAACUGCAGGGGCUAACACGCAAAAUUGCCCAAGACUCAGGAUUCCCACAGACAGGACUGCGGGUUGAAUAGUUUGAAGUGGAGGGUCUCUUUAAGAAAAUACCCGGCCGAAGGGGUACGGGUGAACGCGGACCGCCCAGAUUAGAUCCGAUGGUGUAGAUUAGAUCUGGGCGCUUUAUAAACCGGUAUGCAACGUCAACCGUACGAUCAAAGAUCCACGGCCCACGAAUGCCCACGAUCCAAUCUACCGCGAGCCACACGAUUAAAAUCUAAUGGCUCGGACAUAAAAUGGCGAAGGGGUGCCCUGCUUCUAUUUUCAGCCGUCCAUAUAGGAUCUAACGUCCCAGGCGCUUUCUUCCUCAUGCCGUAGCCAGGCGGCGGCGCGUUUCCAGCCCAGACGGCGGAGAGAUGGCCGGCGUUCGGUGAUUUGCCCCAAACUCCAAUCCGAUCAGUGCUAUUCGAGGAGUGCAAUAUGGUGGAUCGUAGUGAGGCUUCUUACCGGAGUGCGAGGUGGUGACGAGGCCCGCCCAUGGCAGGUGACGCUUUGGCGGCGGAGAGCUCACAUCGGUGAGAAAUUCCAGCCGCGCCGAGAACGAAUCCACCCAGGCGAAGCUGCGACGAACAUCCGUGUGCGCUGCGCAUCCUUGCGGCGAAGCUCCAGUGCCCAACACCAGCGCCAACACCCGCCCAGACCAAGGAUGGUGGAGCAGCGCCCGAACCCAUGGCGGCACCCCUUUUUCUCUCUCAACUUCUCUGCUUGUCGCCAUGGCUGCGGAAGAGACGCAGGGUCGGUGGGAAGAAGGGGGCCGCAUGCGCGCUACUUAUCCCCAGGAGCUCAGGAGAUCCGGAGUCCGCGGCGAGGGAGAUAGGUGAGAUGAUUACGCGAGAACGGCGGAGUUCGUUGGGAUUAGCAUGGCGCAAGGAAGGGUGAUGACCAGGUGGCCCCACCGGUAAGCCACACACAUGAGUGGCAGCGAAACCGGGCGUUUGAGAAACGGUCAAGCGGGGCCCGCCUGUCGGCACUUCCCCCACGUUCCGCGCGCGGUCGAACCCGACCAGUGGGUCCCACACGACAGGGUGCCGGGUGGAUGCGCGCACACAGGAAGUUUGGGCCGCGCUGUAGAUAGGCUUAGGUGGGCUGGCAGGUGGUUUGGGCCCAAUCCGCAGUUUAUUCUUUCCCUUUUUUUUUCUUUUAUUCUUUUAUGGUUUCUUUUCCCUUUUGUUUUUAGAAUUCAAAUUUAAAUUAGAAUUCGGUCCUGUGAUCCAUCAAUGUUAAAAGUGUACCCAGUUCAAUCUUUUGGAGUAUAGAAGUACUUUCUUAUUUAUAUAUUUUGUUCUACCUUAUUUGCUUAAUGGUGUUUUCUCUUUUCUCAAUUUUCUAGAAUUCCCUUUUGAAUUUCUAAAUUUCCACUUUGGAUUUUAAUAUAUUUCUUGUCACAUUUAUUAUUUUAUUUUGUCACAAUACGCACACAAAAGAAAAUCCCAGCAUGAUGUAUAAUUUAGUUGAGUGUCUUUUGUUGAUUAUUUAUCUGUGGAAGUGAGGUGUCCACAUGAAAUGAUCAAUAUAGGUCACACAUAUAUGUAUACAGGAACAUAAUUUCUCUUUUUAGACACUUCUUACAAAGUGGGUAUUACAGUCUACCAAUAGUGUAGGCAUCCCUUGCAAAUUUUAGUUUUUCAAAUUCACUUUUGCUAGUCUUAAGUUGGGUAUUAAGACUAGCUAAUUCAUCAUUCAAUUUUGAAAUGGAGACUAAGUGUUCACUGCACGCAUUAAUAUCAACAUCCUUACACCUAGUGCAAAUUUCAACAUGUUCAACACAAGAGUUGGAUCUAUUUGCUUCUACUAGUUUAGCAUUUAAGUCAUCAUUAAUGCUCUUUAAGUUAGAAAUAGAAUCAUGGCAUGUUGACACUUCACAAGCAAGCAUUUCAUUCCUCUUAAUUUCUAAUGCAAGGGAUUUUUGAGCCUCUACAAACUUAUCAUGUUCUUCAUACAACAAAUCCUCUUGCUUUUCUAAAAGUAUAUUCUUUUCAUUCAAGGCAUCAAUUAAUUCAUUAAUUUUGUCUAUCUUAGAUCUAUCUAAGCCCUUGAACAAACAUGAAUAAUCUACUUCAUCCUCAUCACUAGAUUCGUCCUCACUUGAAGAAGCAUAGGUAGAGUUGCGAGUACAUACCUUCUUCUCCCUUGCCAUAAGGCAUGUGUGACGCUCGUUGGGGAAGAGGGUUGAUUUGUUGAAGGCGGUGGCGGCGAGUCCUUCAUUGUCGGAGUCGGAAGAGGAGCAAUCCGAGUCCCACUCCUUGCCUAGAUGCGCCUCGCCCUUUGCCUUCUUGUAAUGCUUCUUCUUUUCCCUCUUGUUUCCCUGUUCCUGGUCACUAUCAUUAUCGGGGCAGUUAGCGAUAAAAUGACCAAUCUUACCGCACUUGAAGCAUGAGCGCUUCCCCUUUGUCUUGGUCUUGCUUGGCUGCCCCUUGUGACCUUUUAGUACCGUCUUGAAGCGUUUAAUGAUAAGAGCCAUUUCUUCAUCGUUGAGUCCGGCCGCCUCAACUUGUGCCACCUUGCUAGGUAGCGACUCCUUGCUCCUUGUUGCCUUUAGAGCAAUGGGUUGAGGCUCGUGGAGUGGUCCGUUCAACGCGUCGUCGACGUAUCUUGCCUCCUUGAUCAUCAUCCUCCCGCUCACGAAUUUUCCAAGUACUUCUUCGGGCGUCAUCAUCGUGUACCUGGGAUUCUCACGAAUAUUGUUCACGAGAUGAGGAUCAAGAACGGUAAAGGACCUGAGCAUUAGGCGGACGACGUCGUGAUCCGUCCAACGCGUGCUUCCGUAGCUCCUUAUUUUGUUGAUAAGGGUCUUGAGCCGGUUGUAAGUUUGAGUUGGCUCCUCUCCCCUUAUCAUGGCGAAUCGUCCAAGCUCGCCCUCUACCAACUCCAUCUUGGUGAGCAUGGUGAUGUCGUUCCCCUCGUGAGAGAUCUUGAGGGUAUCCCAUAUCUGCUUGGCAUUGUCCAAGCCGCUCACCUUAUUGUAUUCUUCCCUGCACAAAGAUGCUAAGAGAACAGUAGUAGCUUGUGCAUUUUUAUGAAUUUGUUCAUUGAUAAACAUAGGGCUAUCCGAGCUAUCAAAUUUCAUUCCAUUCUCUACAAUCUCCCAUAUGCUUGGAUGGAGAGAGAAUAAAUGACUACGCAUUUUGUGACUCCAAAAUCCGUAGUCCUCCCCAUCAAAGUGUGGAGGUUUACCAAGAGGAAUGGAAAGCAAAUGUGAAUUCGAACUAUGUGGAAUACGAGAAUAAUCAAAAGAAAAGUUUGAGUUAACCGUCUUUUGUUUGUCGUGGUCGUCGUCCUUUUGGGAAGAAGAGGAUUCGUCGCUGUCGUAGUAGACGAUCUUCUUGAUGCGCCUUGUCUUCUUCUUCUUCCCAUCUUUGCGCCUGUGGCCCGAGCCCGAGUCGUUGGACUUGUCAUCCCUUGGCUCGUUGACGAAGGACUCCUUCUCCUUGUCGUUGAUCACAAUUCCCUUCCCCUUAGGAUCCAUCUCUUCGGGCGGUUAGUCCCUUUCUUGAAGAGAACGGCUCCGAUACCAAUUGAGAGCACCUAGAGGGGGGGGGGUGAAUAGGUGAUCCUGUAAAACUUCAAAACUUAAGCCACAAAAACUUGUUAAGUGUUAGCACAAUUAUGGCCAAGUGGCUAGAGAGGAGUCAAAACACAAUAACCACAAGAAUUCAAUCACAGAGAUGACACGGUGGUUAUCCCGUGGUUCGGCCAAGUACAAAACUUGCCUACUCCACGUUGUGGCGUCCCAACGGACGAGAGUUGCACUCAACUCCUCUCAAGUGAUCCAAUGAUCAACUUGAAUACCACGGUGUUCUUGCUUUUCUUUUCUCAAUCCCGUUUGCGAGGAAUCUCCACAACUUGGAGCCUCUCGCCCUUACAAAAGAUGUUCACAGAGAAUCACGGAUCAAGGCAGGGAUUAGCAACUCACACAACACAAAGAUCACAGCGAAUACGCACACACAAGACCCAGACUUGAGCUCAAGAGACUAGCACACUAAAACGGAGCUCAAAUCACUAGAAUGAAGAACAAGUGCGCAAGAUUGAUGUGUGAGUGAUCAAGAGUGCUCAAGGAAUGCUUGGUUGUCCUCCUCCAUGCGCCUAGGGGUCCCUUUUAUAGCCCCAAGGCAGCUAGGAGCCGUUGAGAACAAAUCCAGAAGGCUAUCCUUGCCUUCUGUCGUCGGGCGCACCGGACAGUCCGGUGCACACCGGACACUGUCCGGUGCCCGAUUUCUUUCCUUAACAGGCGCAGCCGACCGUUGGCGACCGUUGCAGAUCUGGCGCACCGGACAGUCCGGUGCACACCGGACAGUCCGGUGCUUCCUUCCGACCGUUGGCUCGGCCACGUGUCGCGCGCCGAUCGCGCGGCCGACCGUUGGCCCGGCCGACCGUUGGCUCACCGGACAGUCUGGUGCACACCGGACAGUCCGGUGAAUUUUAGCCGAAGUCGCUGGAGAAAAACCCGAGAGCAGCCUCUUCGGCCGAGGCAGCCUGGCGCACCGGACACUGUCCGGUGCACCACCGGACACUGUCCGGUGCACCACCGGACAGUCCGGUGCCCGAGACCGAAACAGCCCCUUGGCUGUACACAGCCAAGUCUUCUCUUCUCUUCUUCUUUCUGUUUCUAACACUUAGACAAGAUAUUAGUACACAAAAACAAUGUACUAAGGCUUAGAAACAUACCUUAACUUGUGAUUUGCACUUUGUUCAUCUAUGGGCAUAUUUUCACAUUUAAGCACUUGUGUUUGCACUCAAUCACCAAAAUACUUAGAAAUGGCCCAAAGGCACAUUUCCCUUUCAGUUAUUUCAAAGUAUUUUCCAUAAUAGCAGAGUAAACACUUUAGAUCCAAACUGAGUACUUUAUGGCUUUUUUAUAAUGGCAGAAAUGGGCAAUUUCAAUAAAACAAUAGUUAUUAUUAUUGUUGACGAUUGGAGUUUGUUAAAGUAAUGCCUAGAUGUUACUGGUUAUUUUGAUGAUUAUUUUUAUUCAUCUUCUCUCCCAGCGUGUCUUCUCAGAAUUAAGGUGGAGUAUGCUUGGUGUGAAGUACACUGUACACAAACUAAACACACCCAGGUCAGUUUUGCUUAUUAGCAGAGCUUUUCAUCCAUCUUGAAAAAUAAAACUGAAAUUCUUUUUUCUUCGUUUGCUCGUCUACAAUAUCCGCACAUUCUUAUUUCGAAUCAUCUGCACACUGCACUGAUUUGAACAGGCAAAGUGUUGGGCGGUGUUGUGCAUCAAGAGCGCUCGCCACUUGGCACUGGCUAGCCAACUAGACACAUACAACAAUCCCUUUUGUUCUGUCAUCACAUCUUGGGAGCUGGAUACUGAUUACUAUCUUCAUGUGACGAUAGCUAGGGAUGAUCUCAUGUCUGAUAGCUACCACUUGAGGCAAGUUUUAGUGGUUCUUUGGUUCACUUAACAAGAUGAUAACUCGUAAUUUUAGUGGUUAUGAUACAAUGAUUUCAUCCCCUUAACAAGAUGAUAACUCGCAGUUUGCACCUGGAAAUAAUGUGUUUGUGGGAUCUGGAGUGCGGCUGGCGGGCGCGCGCACAGCAUGUGCGACGGCUACUGCGACUGGUGGGCGGGCGCGACAUGCAUGGAGCGGAUGGGUCCAGGGUGCGCGGAGCAUGGUUGGGCGUUGGGUUGGUGCACGUUAAAACAUAAUGCAAAUGUGAGUGGACAAUUUAUCUUAUGAACAUACUAACUUGAAUCGUAUUGAUUCAAACCUUAGACGGCUAUCAAAGGAUGGCAUUGGGGCCUUUAGACAUCUUCUCGGUUUUGUACUGGUGUUACUUUUUUUUCAUCAUUUCAGAGCUUACAGAUGGAUCAGCGACCUUCAGGUCAAGAAACUCUAUCUCAAUCACAAAUCUCCCUGUGACGGUGAUAUCGAUUGCUCACACAAAACCGUCAUGUUUCAGUUGUUUAUCAAAAAUCCCUGCAUACGUGUAAAAUACCUAUUAGAUAGAAAUCAGUCAUUCACUCCCACUUGCUCUGAGCACACUAGAACGAACAACUCAGCUAGGAAUAACAGUAGCAACCAAUUUGAAAUCUCAUUGGGC
rnacentral:lncRNA from 1 species